AAGUCAAAAUCAAAUUCGAAACCGAACACCGCAAGAGAAAACGAAAAAGGGUGUGAAACAUGAUAGAACGACACUGCCACGUGGGCGCUUAAAAGGCCUCUUCGUAAAACGGCCACACAAACAACACCAGUUGCACUCUCCGCCCAGGCACAAGAACGAAAAUCCAGGCUAAGAGUGGACGCUCCCACAUUCCCAAACGUCACCGUAUCCUUAAAGAUAAGGCUUACGCAAACACACUGAAAUUCAUUUGCAUCAUCUCUCUCGAUUCAACGAGUGUUGUGGGUUUCUUUGUUAUUGGGAUGAGCAUUGAAGCAAAAGGGGUGUUUUCUGCGUAGUGGUUUUGGGACUGCAUCUGCAACUGCAUGAGUUGGGCAAAACCUAGGUGGCUCUUCAAGUUUGUUAGCUUGAAGUUUUACAAGCAGCUCCAACUAUGGCUAUUGCUACGGCCACCUUCUCUCUCCAUUUUGGCAAAUUCCCCAUUCGUCAAACUCACUCAUCGUCUCGAAUACGCCAUCGCUUCUCUUCUGGCCGAGGGUUGAAUCUCACUUACCCUUGUGCCUAUCACAGGUUUUCCUGUUUGAGUUCCAAAUGUUCAAUAACGGAUACUGAUGUGCAUUUGGAUUGCGUUGGCGAGGAGGAAGAUGGAGGAGGGUCUUCUGUGGUUGAGCCUCCCUGUCCGGUGUCGUUCGUAAAACUCAAGACUGAUAUUCUGGAAACUGAGUCUUUGAAUCUUCUCUCCCAAGCUGCAUUUGUAGAUACUCUCUUGACAUCAUUGCCUGUUUUGUCUGAAGAGGAGCAACAUGCACUUUCAGCUACUCCAGCUCACCCUGCUGGGUUACACGCUUUCUAUGCUAGUUGCAUAGCCGCAAAUGUUGUUGAGCAGCUUUGGAAUUUUGCUUGGCCUUCUGCCAUUGCCUUGAUUCACCCAAGCCUUUUGCCAGUUGCUGUGAUGGGUUUCUUCACCAAAGUGGCAAUAAUUGUUGGCGGUCCCUUGGUUGGCAAAGUGAUGGACCAUUUUCCUAGAAUGAUUGCUUAUAAUUGCUUAACUAUCACACAGGCUGCUGCUCAGUUGCUAUCUGCAGCAAUGAUUAUUCAUGCCCAUUCUGUGCAUCAUACUUCGUUGUCUACACUUCUUAUGCGUCCAUGGUUUGGUAUAUUGGUUUCGGCUGGGGCUAUAGAGAGGCUUUGUGGUGUAGCUUUGGGCGUUGCAAAUGAGCGUGACUGGGUUGUGUUGCUGGCAGGAGUGAAUAGGCCGGUUGCACUUGCACAGGCAAACGCUGUCCUAAACCGAAUUGAUCUCCUCUGUGAAAUAGCUGGGGCAUUGCUGUUUGGGUUCCUUCUUUCCAAAUUUCAUCCUGUAAUCUGCUUAAAAUUUGCUUCUGGCUUAAUGAUGGGGCUUCUGCCUGUGACAAUUGUUUUCACUUAUUUAGCCAACAAGCUUUCUACUGGUGUUCUUGACCGGCCUAAACCUUCACAAACCUGUUGCAGAACAUUUAAUGAAGAUUCUACCACUGAUGCUGACAGUAUAGUGUUUAAGGGUCUGGAAGCCAUCAAGCUUGGCUGGAAGGAAUAUCUGGGUCAGCCAGUUCUUCCUGCUAGUUUGGCAUGGGUGCUCCUCUACUUUAAUAUUGUUCUUGCACCCGGCAGUUUGUUGACAGCAUUUUUAACACAGCGUGGUUUACAUCCAUCUAUCAUAGGAGGAUUCAGCGGAUUGUGUGCUUUUAUGGGUGUUGCUGCAACAUUUGUGUCUUCAACUCUGGUCAAGCAGUUUGGCAUUUUAAAGGCUGGGGCAGUUGGGUUGGUGUUUCAAGCUUUACUUCUCAGCAUGGCUGUUGCUGUAUAUUUGAGUGGAUCAAUUUCAAACCAGAGCCCUCUUUUUAUUUUCUUAUCUCUGAUUGUAAGUCACUAUUUUUAUUUUUUUUUGUCGCUGAUUAUCUUUGUUGUAGUUUACAAACUAUAGCGGUGUUAUCAUGAGAAGUGGGGUCAUUCUGAUAGGGAUUCAAGUACAGCUUAUACUGAAUUAGGGAGAUUUUGUCACGGUUAGGACACAUGUCAUAUGAUGUUGUUGGGGCACAGAUUCUCCAAACAGGUAUCCCAUCAUCCAAAGCAAAUCUCAUUGGGACAACAGAAGUUGCUGUUGCUAGUUUGGCAGAGUCUAUAAUGCUGGGCGUUGCAAUAAUUGCAAAUGAUCCUUCUCACUUUGGAUGUUUAGCACUGUUGUCUCUUCUAUCUGUGGUUGGCGCAGCAUGGAUGUUCUGUAGAUGGUUGUUGAAUCCCACAGAUGAACAAAAAAGUCUUUUUUCUUAUGAUCCUCAAUUUUGAUAUCUAUUUGUUCCAUAAGCUGCCUUAGUGCAAAGGCUGUUUGAUGUGGACAAGAACCAAAUUAUAUUGGAAAUAAUUAGCGUGGUGGGUGAUUAUCCACUUAAUACCGGAGCUUGAGGCAUUUUCUUCUCACCUGGCCAAUGAUAUUUAUUUCAUUGUAUGGACAGAUAGAUGGCUUUGCCUGUAAUUCUGUAAAUGUGUAGCAUGCCUUCAUACUAUAUAUUAGUGUACAUGACGAAUCAAAUUAGCUAGGUGCGUAGGUCCAACACACAAACGUUGUUUUGUAAAGCAUUUUUUUUUUUUUAAUUCUUUCCCGGUGUCUAAAAAUAUAAACAGACUUGUUCCGGUGAUUGUGAUAAGUUCAAUGAUUCCUAGUGAAAUUCCACG